CACUUCGCGAUAGCAGCAGCAGAAGCGCCACCACAAGCGGUUCAACUCCGGCUUGGGAAUGGAUCGAUAAAACAACAUAGCUGAAGAUUCUUCAGAAUGUUCGUGCUGCUCGAAACUGGAUGCACGGUUUGCGUUUGUUACUUUUCAUCACAGCAUCACUCAAAAACGUGUUUACCUGUUUCAUCCGCAUUCGUCACAUGAAACUGACAACCAGAAUAAUUUUAAUCAGGAAAAGUAUAUCUUACUGAUUUUCGAUUUCACUUUUAGCUGAGAAAUGUAUUUGUGUUGAUGUAUGGAUUAUUUGUUGUGAAAUUUGAUUUAGAUUUAGAAGUGAAACUAUUUUUUAAGAAAAUAUGUCAUGAAACAUAAUGGACCAUGCAGUUUUAAAAAAAGAGAGCGCAUUAUUAUUCUAAAAUGGAAUCGCAGAGAAAUCAUAAUGAAUAUCUAUUAUUUGAACCUCGAAAUGUGAUUUAAAAAAAAUCUGAAAGUUUUAUGAAUUGAAGCAAAAUGAGCUGAAAGUGAACCAAUAUGCAAACUUUUAUUAGGCAAUUCAUGGCAAAAAAUCAGAGAUAUUUUCUACCGAGCAUCUGUUUCGGUAGAUUAUGACAGUUUAGAUUUUAUAAAAACAAAACUAUUUGAUAAAUUCUGCUACAGAAACUUUGUCGAACAUUACUGAAAUAUAAACGAUGUUACAAAACAAACGAAAGUAUAGUGUUUAUGAUGUAAAAUUUACAUUGUAAAAAUAAAUAUACGUAAAUUAUAAAAAUAUGUUUAGAAAUUUCGGCAACAGAAUAUCCUCCCUUCCUCUGAAAGACAAUAUUGCUGAAGAAAAUAAAACAAGAAACAAUGGAAGUGCUUUUUCGUUCAGAAUUUAUAUAGUUUUUCAAUUCAGCGUGUGUUUUAAUUGAGUGUCGACACAUUUUAACCUUUUCCUGGUGCGAACAAUCAAAGGAAAAAAAAAAAUUCGAAAAUGAGACGGGAAAAACAUGGAGUCCAACUCACUGGUAGUGUACGAAUCAACAUGAAAGGAAGAGUACCCCUCUUUCGAAUAAGAAAUGUGCUUACGACUUCAGAAGUUCCCAACCGAAAGAAAAUGUGAACAAAAAUAAAAACAAAACUCACUUCUGGACUUGAAGCAUGAAAUGCCGCAGCAACUGGCUAUGAAUGAUGCAUUGAAUAAAAAUUGUGAACACUACUUAUGGUUUGAACUCGGCUACUUAAGUCACUUCUGUAUUAGUGACCUCCGUGCUGCCCGCAGAAAGUGGGCACAGGAGCAUCUCCAAUGGAGAAGAGAUGACUGGAGCAACAUUCUCUUCACAGACGUGUCCUGCUUUAAUGUACAACCUGACAAUAGCGGGGUUUUCAUCUGGAGAAAGCCUCUUCUACAGAAUAUUCCUGUAUUCGUUCACGGAUACAAGGAUGAGAUCCUCAGAUCUAUUGUGGUCCUUUUCCCUAAAGCAACGGAGAAUGAAUUCAUUCUCUCGGAUGAUAAUGCCAAGCCACAUCGUGCUGAGCUGGUGAACAGUUUCCUUUUUUACAAAGGAAUCCUUCGAACAGAUUGGCCAGGAUGUUCCCCACAUAUAAACCGAAUAGAACCUGUUUGGGACAUUCUAGGUGACAAGGGUUGUUACUCGCUUAUCACCAUGAGAAACAAUUCAGCAGUUUGAAAGCUCUCUUCUACAGGAGCGGGAGAGAACACCCCAGCCCCUCUGAUUCCAUUCCUUGUAGAUGUGCGAUAUUUCUUUCGGUCAGGGGAAAGCGUACCCCUUACUAAAACUCAUUUGUAUCUGAGAUAUCACAUUUUUUGUUUGUUUGUAUUAUAUGCAUAAAUUGUGCAUUUUUUGUUUACCGACAAA